rnacentral:rRNA from 1 species
UACGGAGGGUGCAAGCGUUAUCCGGAUUCACUGGGUUUAAAGGGUGCGUAGGCGGGCAGGUAAGUCCGUGGUGAAAUCCCCGAGCUUAACUCGGGAACUGCCAUGGAUACUAUUUGUCUUGAAUAUUGUGGAGGUAAGCGGAAUAUAUCAUGUAGCGGUGAAAUGCUUAGAUAUGACAUAGAACACCAAUUGCGAAGGCAGCUUACUACACAGUUAUUGACGCUGAGGCACGAAAGCGUGGGGAGCAAACAGG